rnacentral:rRNA from 1 species
UUGAACGCUGGCGGCAGGCCUAACACAUGCAAGUCGAGCGGAUGAAGGGAGCUUGCUCCUGGUUUCAGCGGCGCACGGGUGAGUGUUGCCUAGGAAUCUGCCUGGCAGUGGGGGAUAACGUCCGGAAACGGGCGCUAAUACCGCAUACGUCCUGAGGGAGAAAGUGGGGGAUCUUCGGACCUCUCGCUAUCAGAUGAGCCUAGGUCGGAUUAGCUAGUUGGUGGGGUAAAGGCCUACCAAGGCGACGAUCCGUAACUGGUCUGCGUGGAGGAUCAGUCACACUGGAACUGAAACACGGUCCUGACUCCUAAGGGAGGCAGCAGUGGGGUAUAUUGGACAAUGGGCGAAAGCCUGAUCCAGCCAUGCGGCGUGUGUGAAGAAGGUCUUCGGAUUGUAAAGCACGUUAAGUUGGGAGGAAGGGCAGUAAGUUAAUACCUUGCUGUUUUGACGUUACCAACAGAAUAAGCACCGGCUAACUUCGUG